rnacentral:rRNA from 1 species
AUUGAACGCUGGCGGCAGGCCUAACACAUGCAAGUCGAACGGGAACAGGAAGAAGCUUGCUUCUUUGCUGACGAGUGGCGGACGGGUGAGUAAUGUCUGGGAAACUGCCUGAUGGAGGGGGAUAACUACUGGAAACGGUAGCUAAUACCGCAUAAUGUCGCAAGACCAAAGAGGGGGACCUUCGGGCCUCUUGCCAUCGGAUGUGCCCAGAUGGGAUUAGCUAGUAGGUGGGGUAACGGCUCACCUAGGCGACGAUCCCUAGCUGGUCUGAGAGGAUGACCAGCCGCACUGGAACUGAGACACGGUCCAGACUCCUACAGGAGGCAGCAGUGGGGAAUAUUGCACAAUGGGCGCAAGCCUGAUGCAGCUAUGCCGCGUGUAUGAAGAAGGCCUUCGGGUUGUAAAGUACUUUCAGCGGGGAGGAAGGGAGGAAAGUUAAUACCUUUGCUCAUUGACGUUACCCGAAGAAGAAGCACCGGCUAACUCCGUG